rnacentral:rRNA from 1 species
GACGAACGCUGGCGGCGUGCUUAACACAUGCAAGUCGAACGGAAAGGCCCUGCUUUUGUGGGGUGCUCGAGUGGCGAACGGGUGAGUAACACGUGAGUAACCUGCCCUUGACUUUGGGAUAACUUCAGGAAACUGGGGCUAAUACCGGAUAGGAGCUCCUGCUGCAUGGUGGGGGUUGGAAAGUUUCGGCGGUUGGGGAUGGACUCGCGGCUUAUCAGCUUGUUGGUGGGGUAGUGGCUUACCAAGGCGUUGACGGGUAGCCGGCCUGAGAGGGUGACCGGCGACAUUGGGACUGAGAUACGGCCCAGACUCCUACGGGAGGCAGCAGUGGGGAAUAUUGCACAAUGGGCGGAAGCCUGAUGCAGCAACGCCGCGUGCGGGAUGACGGCUUUCGGGGUGUAAACCGCUUUCGCAUGUGACGAAGCGUGAGUGACGGUAAUGGGUAAAGAAGCACCGGCUAACUACGUG